GGUUUGAUUAUGGCUCAGAUUGAACGCUGGCGGUUGUUUUUACACAUGCAAGUCGAACGGCAGCACGGACUUCGGUCUGGUGGCGAGUGGCGAACGGGUGAGUAAUGUAUCGGAACAUGCCUAGUAGCGGGGGAUAACUACGCGAAAGCAGUAGCUGAUAUCGGUACACAUUCCUCGUGAAAGCGGGGGAUCUCUUCGGGCCUCUGCACUAUUAGAGCGGCCGAUAUCGAUUUAGCUUAGUUGGUGGGUAACGGUCACCGAAAGGCGACGAUCCGUAGCUGGUUUGAGAGACGACCAGCCACUGGGACUGAGACAAUACCCAGACUCCUACGAGUAAGCAGGGGAAUUUUGGACAAUGGGGGAACUCUGAUCCAGCCAUCCUCGUGCAAAGACGUGAAGGCCUUUCGGGUUGUAAAGCACUUUUGGCAGGAAGAAACGGCACGUGGAUAAUACUCCCGUGCAACUGAUGUACCGCAGAACAAGCACCGCUUACGUGCCAGCAGCCGCGUAAUACAGGGUGCAAGCGUUAAUCGGAAUUACUGGGCGUAAAGCGUGCGCAGGCGGUUCUGGUGUUACGUAAACUUGUGAGCUUAAACUUCUGAACUGCAUUUUUAACUACCGAGCUAGAGUGUACAGAGGGAGGUGGAAUUCCGCGUGUGGCAGUGAAAUGCGUAGAUAAGGUGGUGGAGGAACGCCUCGAUGGCGAAGGCAGCCUCCUGGGAUAACACUGACGCUCAUGCACGAAAAGCAUGGGGAGCAAACAGGAUUAGAUACCCUGUGUCCACGCCCUAAACGAUGUCAACUAGCUGUUGGGGCCUUCGGGCCUUGGUAGCAGCUAACGGGUAGUUGACCGCCUGGGGAGUACGUCGCAAGAUUAGAAAAACUCAAAGGAAUUGACGGGGACCCGCACGCCGGUGGAUGAUGGGGAUUAAUCAUGCAACGCGAAAACCUUACCUACCCUUGACAUGUCUGGAACCUGAAGAGAUUGGGGAGUGUGCUCGCAAGAGAACCGGAACACAGGUGCUGCAUGGCUGUCGUCAGCUCGUGUCGAGAUGUUGGGUUAAGUCCUACAACGAGCGCAACCCUUGUCAUUAGUUGCUACGAAAGGGCACUCGACGAGACCGCUGGCGACAAACUGGAGGAAGGUGGGGAUGACGUCAAGUCCUACAUCUCUUAUAAGUAGGGCUUCACACGUCAUACAAUGGUCGGGACAGAGGGUCGCCAACCCGCGAGGGGGAGCCGCAUCCAGAAACCCUGAUCGUAGUCCGGAUCGCAGUCUGCAACCGACUCGCGUGAAGUCGAAUCGCUGGUAAUCGCGGAUCAGCAUGUCGCGGUGAAUACGUUCCUUGUACACACCGCCCGUCACACCAUGGGGAGUGGUCACCAGAAGGUUAGCCGAACUGCAGAGGGCGAUUACCACGGUAGGAUUCAUACACUAAAGGAAGUCGUAACAAGGUAG
rnacentral:rRNA from 1 species